AGAUACUAACUGAAAUCAAAAUGAAGAAUUAUAUUAUUGACUGGAUGUGUCACUUCGAAUGAACACGAAGAUGGAUUGAAAUUGCUUGAAAUGAAAACUUUGAAGAAAAGAAGAACUGCAGCUUGCGACCAGUUUUGUGAUACACCCACACUUCCUCAAUACUGGAAUUUUUAUUUCAAAGAGUCGAAAAUAUGGUCCAGAACACUCGUUCGUGAAGAUUGGGCUCCUGGCGCAGAAACCGCUCCAUUGUUUCGGCGCCUUAUGUGGCUGUUUUCGAAGACGAUUCGAUAGUCAACUAUCCUUCAACUAUUUUUCACUCUUCAGUACUAGAUUUUUCAUCGUCAAAAAAUGUUCUAGAAACAUACACCAGUCGUGAUGAUUCAUCAAACGAAUACCGAAAAUGACAUUCCAAGUGUCCGGCUUGCCACACUGCCCGUUCGAGAUUUCGAGAUGGACUAAAAUAGCUUUCGUGAAUAAAAGGCGACCGAGCCGCGUGAAAAAGAGACCGUUUCGCGACUAGAUGAUCGAUUCAACGUUAUAUCGGUUGAUGUGAGUAUUGAAAUAAGUUCAGAUGGGAAAUUAUUAGCAUAGGUAAUGGAUAAAACGGGUGAUGGGUCGAAAGGUGCAUUAUUAUGUGUAAACAGGUUGCUCUAGGUACUUACCCU